UCUCUCGUGGCCCAGUUGGUUAGUGCGUCGUACUUAUAAGCAGUGCAGGAGUAUAUGCGAAGGUCGAGGGUUCGAUCCCCUGCGGGAGCA
rnacentral:tRNA from 1 species